rnacentral:snoRNA from 13 species
GUGCACAGCGAACACCCAAGGAUGCUAACAUGGCUCCCCCUGGUCUCCUGAAUCUGUGCUAAAGUAAAUCUGAUUUGUACCUCUGCAUUUGGAGAGCUGCUUUCUCUUUUAAAUGUAUUCAGCAGAUCAGAAUAAAU